AAUGUUGUAGAAUACAACGAAUAAGUUUUUAUAUAUAAAGUUAGGCUUGAAUAGCACCAAACCAUUACUGCUAUUAGGUUUUCGACCUUUGGAUGAGAGAGCUUUUCUAGGAUUGAAUAGGUAGUUGAUUGAAUUGUAUGAUCUAACAGAUAGAAAUGAUUAAAGAGAUAAAUUUAACGAUAAAAACUUGAUAGCACAAAUGUUUGAUGCUAUUAAAAGCACCACGCCCUGAUUAUGUGUGUGUAUAUAUAUAUAGAGAGAGUAGGUCUCCCAUGCUUUCGAAAGUACGGAGGCUUCCGUGCUUGUAAGUUGUUUUCGAUGAUAGGAUAUCCGAUUCGACGAUCAGCUCCAUUAAGCAUAAUCUACCCUAUUAGAACUAUCUAGAAACCAAAUUUCAUAAUUUUUCGACAUCAUUUACCAGGCGAUCAAAGAGUCUCAAAAAUGACUAUUUUAACGGCCGAUGUGUCACGUUUUUAAGUUCAACGGUGUAGAAGUAUCCAAAUUAGAUGAAAAUUUAAUAGAAAAUUCUACUUAAUAUCAAGAGCAAGAAUAAUACUUCCGAUUUUAAAUUUGAGUCUUUUAUCACUGUUUUUAAUAAGAUUUUUAUUUUCAGUCAUUCAUUUUGAGACUACUCAUUCACUAGGCAAAUGAAGUCAAAAAAUUAUGAAAUUUGGUUUCUAGAUAGUUCUAAUAGCAUAAAUCAUGUCUAACAGAACCGAUCGCUAAAUCAGAUGCUCUAUCAUCGAGAACAACUUACAAGCACGGAGGCGCUUGUGUGUGUGUGUGUGUGUGUGUGUGUGUGUGUGUGUGUGUGUGUGUGUGUGUGUGUGUGUGUGUGUAUAUAUAUAUAUGAAUUAUACUACUAUACUAUCAAUAGUACCAAGCUCUUGGUACUAUUGAGUUUUAGGCCCUUAGACUCUAUAUGAAUUAUGCUACUAUACUAUCAAUAGUGCCAAGCCCUUGGUACUAUUGAGUUUUAGGCUGUUGGAUGAAAAGAUGUGCAGUUAGGAUGAUAGUAGUCCUCGGUUAAAUUGAUAGCGGUCCCCUAGGGUUGAGUGGGUGGUUGGUUUAAUAAUAUAAUCUAACGAGUGAAAAAUGAUCAAAUGAUAGAUCUAACGGUAGAAAACUUAAUAGUACCAAAGGCUUGGUACUAUCGAUAGCAUAGUAGCCGGACUAUAUAUAUGCAUAAUUGAGCUCCUAUGCUUUUAAAAGUACCAAGUUAUUGAUGCUUGUAGAUUUUUAGCCAUUGGAUUAAGAGAUAUGCGGUUAGGAAGAUGUGGGCCCCCUAGGGUUGAGUGGGUGGUUGGUUGAAUAGUAUAAUCUAAUAGUUGAAAAUGAUCCGAGAAGUAGAUCUAACGGUAAAAAACUUACAAGCACCAAGUGCUUAAUGGUUUUACAAGCACCAUAGCUGGACUCUCUCUCUCUCUCUCUCUCUCUCUCUCUCUCUCUCUCUCUCUCUCUCUCUCUCUCUAUAUAUAUAUAUAUAUAUAUAUAUAUAUAUAUAC
rnacentral:lncRNA from 1 species